GAUAAAAUAGCUCUACUUGUCAGUCUUGUACAAAUGGUGUAAUUUUGCAGCAGGUAGGCUAGCAAAAAUAUGUUUGUGUUAGCUAACGUUACCUGCCUGACGGCAAAUGCUGCUUGUAACGAACAGUUAGUGCAACUUUUUUUUUUCGAACGGACGGAAUAUGUUUACUGUAAUAUGUUUUUAAACGGGAUAAGGAAGACACAGAUCUGUUCCAGAAUCACUGUUUAUCGUAUUUAAUGACAUGACAUUGCUGUAGCUUUGUAAUAGGUUUUGAUGAAAGUGGCAUAGCAAAUAGCAUGCUAUACUAUUCCACCGUGAUAAUCUAUUUACCAAAUGGGGGUUAGGAAAACCACACAAUAAAUUCCGUGCAUCAAACAUUAGCUUGGGAUGUUUUUAAGCAUUGGUAAGCAGCUGCCUGCAUCCCUUCCCUUCUAAUAUCAAAAUAUGGAAAUGCUAACAUAUCUUUAAGUUUUCGGUAAACUUUAUAAUAAGUAAAAAUACUGUUUGCUAACAGUUACAUGACAAUUAACUAAAGAUUAAUUAACUAUCAAUUUACCAUCUAUUAAUGAUUGUUAUUAUAAAGUGUUACCAUCUUUUCUUUCUCCCUCAAGGUGCUUUGCUUAAAUUUCUCAGCCCUCAGGCUCUUCCUAAGGAUACCUCCACUGAUGAAGCAACACCAUCAACUUCAUCCUCAACAUCAACAGAUGCAUCACUUCUCAGUGCUGAUGUUUCCUCUAUAGCACAAGCUACAACGUCAAUACCAUCUCUCACAGUGGAAGACACUGCAUCCAGAACAGAAAUUGAGUCUGCACCACUUCCCAACACUGAGGUUUCCUCUACAGCUCAAGAAUGUUUUCCUGUUCAUGGCUCUGUAAUGUGUCUGAGGGCUGCUGGAAGUCUGGAACAAAUGAGGUGUUGCUGGAGGCCCCGCAGAGAGCUGUCUCACUCGCAUUAAAAACGGCUGAUUUGAGUUUUAGUCCUGCUCGGUGUGUUCCUGACGAGGCCUGAGGGACGUUCGCGCGCUUUGAGCUUCCCGCCGGCGCGAAAGAAACACUGCAGCUCGUCGAGCCUCAAACGUGCCGUUAUCAACCACACGAUGGCGGUAUUUGCAAAUAAAUACUCUUCAAGUGUAUUUCGGUUUUGUUCU
ensembl:lncRNA